rnacentral:rRNA from 1 species
UUAGUGGCGGACGGGUGAGUAACGCGUGGGUAACCUGCCUUACACAGGGGGAUAACACUUAGAAAUAGGUGCUAAAACCGCAUAAGCGCACAGCUUCGCAUGAAGCGGUGUGAAAAACUCCGGUGGUGUAAGAUGGACCCGCGUCUGAUUAGCUUGUUGGCGGGGUAACGGCCCACCAAGGCGACGAUCAGUAGCCGGCCUGAGAGGGCGGACGGCCACAUUGGGACUGAGAUACGGCCCAGACUCCUACGGAAGGCAGCAG